rnacentral:rRNA from 1 species
UACGUAGGGGGCUAGCGUUGUCCGGAUUUAUUGGGCGUAAAGAGCGUGUAGGCGGCCAGGUAGGUCUGCUGUGAAAACUCGAGGCUCAACCUCGAGAUGUCGGUGGAAACCAUCUGGCUAGAGUCCGGAAGAGGAGAGUGGAAUUCCUGGUGUAGCGGUGAAAUGCGCAGAUAUCAGGAAGAACACCCGUGGCGAAGGCGGCUCUCUGGGACGGUACUGACGCUGAGACGCGAAAGCGUGGGGAGCGAACAGG